UACGUAGGGCGCAAGCGUUGUCCGGAAUUAUUGGGCGUAAAGAGCUCGUAGGCGGUUUGUCGCGUCUGCUGUGAAAACCUAAGGCUCAACCUUGGGCUUGCAGUGGGUACGGGCAGACUAGAGUGCGGUAGGGGUGACUGGAAUUCCUGGUGUAGCGGUGGAAUGCGUAGAUAUCGGGAGGAACACCAGUGGCGAAGGCGAUCACCUGGGGUUGUUCUGACGCUGAGGAGCGAAAGCUAGGGGAGCAAACGGG
rnacentral:rRNA from 1 species